GCGAGAUUUUCUUCGUAGGACACUUCUGGCAUAUACAUUUCUCAGCCAAUGAAUGCAGGUCUACCAUGUGUUGUCAGCUAAUGACAAUG